GACGAACGCUGGCGGCGUGCUUAACACAUGCAAGUCGAACGAUGAUGCCCAGCUUGCUGGGUGGAUUAGUGGCGAACGGGUGAGUAACACGUGAGUAACCUGCCCCUGACUCUGGGAUAAGCGUUGGAAACGACGUCUAAUACUGGAUAUGACUACCGGCCGCAUGGUCUGGUGGUGGAAAGAUUUUUUGGUUGGGGAUGGACUCGCGGCCUAUCAGCUUGUUGGUGAGGUAAUGGCUCACCAAGGCGACGACGGGUAGCCGGCCUGAGAGGGUGACCGGCCACACUGGGACUGAGACACGGCCCAACUCCUACGGGAGGCAGCAGUAGGGAAUAUUGCGCAAUGGGCGAAAGCCUGACGCAGCGACGCCGCGUGCGGGAUGAAGGCCUUCGGGUUGUAAACCGCUUUUGCUUGGGACGAAUUUUGACGGUACCAAGCGAAUAAGAGGUUGCUAACUCUGUGCCAGCAGCCGCCGUAA
rnacentral:rRNA from 1 species